rnacentral:lncRNA from 1 species
CUGCAGGACUCUGGACUAACCAUCCUGAGUUAGUGUCAUCAUUACUUUGUUCAGAUGGUCGCAGUAUGAUGGACUGACCCAUAGAUAGUGCUGUGACCUUGGGGAACUCACUGCAUCUUUUAUAGCCUGAAUUUUCUCAUCUGCUGUGUGAGAGGUCUCCAAGCAAGUCCUACAUAUAAACAGGUAUGGAAGAUUUAUCGGGCAACAUACAAAUAGGAAGAUACUUUUCAACAAUAAGGUCAAGGCUACUGGUGGUUAGACCUGUAAUUAUAGACGCAUCAGAAGGGCACAUUGUCCAUCUGUCAGUCUCCAGAGUCUUCAUGUGUCAUCUGUGCUCCCUGCCCAUCAGCUUUGCCUGUGUGAGCCCAUGUACCUGCACGUGAGAGGUACACACUCAGCUUGCUGAAUUAACCCAUGUAUCUUCCAUGGCCUGUCAUCCACUGAGCUACUACAGUGUGCUGGCCUCUGUGCUUUGCUCUCUGCCCACAUGAUCUCAUUUCACUCUGUACUUCUCUAUACUUUUCGCCUAUCCAAAACAUCACAGAAAACCAGGGUUUUGCAGAGCCAGAUGAUUGGCCCCAUAGCAGAG